AGGUCAUCUUGCCAGAUCGACUAGAGGACCGGAUCCGGGUUGCGCAGGCGAACAAACGGCGAGCACAACGGCAAGCUGCUGCUGCUGGGAGCCCCGACCAAUCCCCUUCUCAGGCCCCCUCCCCUUCUGUCGCCCAAUCCCCCUCUCCUUCCCAGUCCCCUUCUCAGCCCCCCUCCCCUUCUGUCACCCAAUCCCCCUCUCCUUCCCAGUCCCCUUCUCAGGCCCCCUCCCCUUCUGUCGACCAAUCCCUCUCUCCUUCCCAGUCCCCUUCUCAGGCCCCCUCCCCUUCUGUCGCCCAAUCCCCCUCUCCUUCCCAGUCCCCUUCUCAGCCCCCCUCCCCUUCUGUCGCCCAAUCCCCCUCUCCUUCCCAGUCCCCUUCUCAGCCCCCCUCCCCUUCUGUCGCCCAAUCCCCCUCUCCUUCCCAGUCCCCUUCUCAGCCCCCCUCCCCCUCUCUUUACCAAUACCCAUCUCUGUCCCCCUCCCCCUCUGAAGGCCAAACAACCACUCCGGCCACCUCCCCCUCUCUUUCCCAGUCCCCCUCUCUGGCCCCCUCCCCCUCUGUUGCACAAACACCCUCUCCGCCCCCCCUCCCCCUCUCAAUCAGACCCACCCUCUGAAAACAGCUCCCCAAUCCCUCCUCCUUCCCCAAUCCAGCCUCCUUCCCCAAUCCAGCCUCCUUCCCCAAUCCAGCCUCCUACCCCCAUCCAGCCUACUUCCCCCAUCCAGCCGCCUUCCCCACCCAGUGAAUGGGCAGCAGAAGCCCCAGCGAAGAUUCCGGGGAGUCCGCAUGUGGCAGAUGAGAAUGGUGCAGUUCGAGAUCCCACAAGCCUGCCUGGCAUCCUGGCAAGCUUAAAGGCCCAUUUGCAGGCCAUGAUGGCCGAUGUGGAUAGCCUACAAAAAUUUUGUAAAAUUUUUCUAUUUUAUUUAAAAUUAUGUUACAAU